UUAAAGGAAUUGGCGGGGGAGCACCGCAACGGGAGGAGCGUGCGGUUUAAUUGGAUUCAACACCGGAAAACUCACCAAGGGCGACUGUUACAUGAAAGCCAGGCCGAUGACCUUGCUAGAUUUUCAGAGAGGUGGUGCAUGGCCGUCGUCAGUUCGUACCGUAAGGCGUUCUCUUAAGUGAGAUAACGAACGAGACCCUCACCGAUAAUUGCUACCCCUUCCUCCGGGGAGGGGGCACAUUAUAGGGACCGCUGGCGCUAAGCCAGAGGAAGGAGAGGUCAACGGUAGGUCAGUAUGCCCCGAAUCUCUUGGGCUACACGCGCGCUACAAAGGGCGGGACAAUGGGCUCCGACGCCGAGAGGCGGAGGCAAUCCCGAAACCCGUCCGUAGUUCGGAUCGGGGGUUGUAACUCACCCCCGUGAAGCUGGAUUCCGUAGUAAUCGCGAAUCAACAACUCGCGGUGAAUAUGCCCCUGCUCCUUGCACACACCGCCCGUCA
rnacentral:rRNA from 1 species